CGCGUAGGCGGACCGUUUAGUCAGGCGUGAAAGCCCAGGGCUCAACCCUGGAACUGCGCUUGAUACUGGCGGUCUUGAGUGCCGGAGAGGAUGGUGGAAUUCCCAGUGUAGAGGUGAAAUUCGUAGAUAUUGGGAAGAACACCGGUGGCGAAGGCGGCCAUCUGGACGGCAACUGACGCUGAGGCGCGAAAGCGUGGGGAGCAAACA
rnacentral:rRNA from 1 species